CUUUCUAUAUUAGCCUAUUUUAUUCUUAAGGGAAAAGCAUUACAGAAAAAACACAUUAAAAUCAACAAAGGAACCUUCUCAUAAGCUUACUGGAAUUCCCUAACAUGGGCUUUGGCAGGAGCAGUCCUCCAAAUUCCAACCCAAGGGCAUUCCUCAUGGUUGCAAGUUCAUCACAGCUUCAGCUCCAAAUGCACACCUAGCCUUAUGGGGCCUCAAUAGGUGCAGGCUUUCCAAUCCUACCUUCCAUGGACCAGGGGUUCUGUCCGUUUGCUGGAUGAGGAAUAAGGCCCUGAGCCAGUUUAAAAUCAGGCCAUUUAUCCAAAAAUCCUUUCUUUGUCUGUUGGUCCCCAGAGAAUCCAGUUUGAACUAGUAUAUGUGAACCUCUCCAGGGGCAAGGCUUCAAAGAGCUGAUAGAGGAAGUACAGUAACAUUCCCCUCCUAUUAAAGAUGGUGCAUACAGUGCCACAAUAACACACACACAAUUGAAUUUUUAAUACAAUGUACCCCAAAGCCAUUAACCCUAAAUGUGGAUUAAUUUAAUUCAAUAAGGUCUAUCUUAAUUCCCUAAGGUUUGUUUGGGAUAUUAUGAGAUAUUGUCAGUCCGUCACAACAUUGUCACAGCUAAUACUAGGCUCUGUCUUGGUUGGUUCUUUCUCCUUGGCACUUUGGCUCAAGCUGCCAGACUGUGACCAACAAUUCAGGAUAAGACACAAAAUUAUGAAUGAGCUUCUACAAAUUGGAGGCCUCCUAUUUGUACAGGCAGUAGGAAACAGCAGGGAGAAAGAGUGGCUCCUAAAAGUGCUCUUGAGGAAGGUAAUAAAAGGAGUGGUUGAGCACAGGAGAAGAUGAGCCAGGUAACAGAAACUCAACAGGAAAAUUACACACUGGGAUGGGGGAGUAAUAAAGGCAGCUGCAGGGAUGGGAGGGCAGUGGAGAAUGAGAGUGGAGACAGGUCACUUCUAGUAAACUUUCUAUCGCAGACUGUUUCCACGCCUACCUCCCGAUAGCUACCCAGCCAGUCCCUGAUGCUUUGCUAUUAGUAUCCCAAGCGUAGUCAUUUCCCUUCCCUGCUCCUGGUGAGUACCCACUAACUCCCCUCCUUGGCUUAGCUUCUCCUAUUUACCUAACGCUGGGGCUCUUUUAGGAGCCUCCCCCCAUAUAAAUAGGGGGCUGCAGUUAGGGUGACCAGACAGCAAGUGUGAAAAAUCAGAACGGGGUGGGGGGGUAAUAGGAGCUUAUAUAAGAAAAAGCCCCAAAUACUGGAACUGUCCCUAUAAAAUCAGGACAUCUGGUCACCCUAGCUGCAGUCCCCAGGCAAGCAUUUUGGCCUCCUCACCUAGCCAGGGUUCCUGCUCUGGCCUUAUUGUUUCCCCCUCCCACUUCCCAGCUCCUUCUUCCUCCAGCCUAACUUUCCCUGAAAUACCUUCUAGUUCACUGGUAGUGGCUUCCUCAGUACCUCUCUUCUUGAAUGCCUCAUCAUGCAGCUCCCUCUGCAGUGUCUGUGCCUGCAGUCCUUUAGUAGCAAUGGCUUCAGGAUGGCAGCUCCAGUGGUAGCUGAUCCUAUCCCAGCAGCCUGGCACCAGUCACCCCAUGAAGCAGCUCCCUCUGACAGCAGCAGCAGCAGUUCCUAGGUCAGCGGAGGAGGCGCUGAGGCGGCAGCAGAUCCCUUUAUUGAACAACACAAUUUCUUCAGGCAUCCUGACAGGAGAUGGGUGCAGGCCAACACAUUAGAUGGCUGCCCAGUUCCUCUAUUUCUCUAGGAAGAAGAGCCUCUGUCAAUGUCAGGGGGAGGGAUAGCUCGGUGGUUUGAGCAUUGGCCUGCUAAACCCAGGGUUGUGAGUUCAAUCCUUGAGGGGGCCAUUUGGGAUCUGGGGCAAAAAUUGGGGAUUGGUGCUGCUUUGAUUUGAGCAGGGGGUUAGACUAGAUGACCUCCUGAGGUCCCUUCCAACCCUGAUAGUCUAUGAUUCUAUGAAUGUGCCAAUAUACAGGAGGGGUGGCUGAGAGGGACCAGGGAAUGCUCACUGAGUGGCAGUUAAACUGCCAUAGCUCUGUUUCUCAGUGAAAGGGGGGAUGUGCUAAGACCCAUCCUUAUCUCAGAAAAAUCUGUGGAGGGGGGAAUUCAGGAGCAUGUUGUUGAGCAUGUACAGUUUUCUAAGGCAGGCUGAGUCUUCAGACAUAACAAGAUUGCGGUGUCUAUUGCAGUAAUAUUCAACUUGAGGAGCUUGAGCCAUAGGUGAUUUCUCUUAGGCAAUCCUGUGGCUCUUUUCUCAUGUAUGAGAAAGGCAUCACAGAGCAUCCUGAUGUAGAUGCAGGGGUAGAUGCAGAUUUCUCCAGAAGAAAAAAAGUCAGUGUAAAACACUGGUGGACAGAGCACAGAGACAGAGGUGGAGAGAAGUAAUGUGGCUAGAACUAGACUUCUGGAAUCUCAUGACAGACUUCUAAUCCCAGCUCUCUCACUGGGCCAUAAAUAAUAAAUUCUUAUUUUAUGUUUUUAUUCAGCUGUUUUGAUUAUUUACCUUGUUACUUUAUGGUAAGCUUGCCACCUUCAUUCUUGUAUUCUAAAUAUGUUCAUUUUUUUGUCCCUCUGCAUUACCAAUGGGCUCUGAUCUAGCGUGGGCUUGUAUGUGUUGGCAGAGGGAGCUUGAAGGAAGCACAUCGUCAUCAUCACUAGGUUUAGACAUUUUGACCUUCAAUCUUAUCUUUAGGAUUUGCAGCUGGUUAACUAGUACAGACUGCUUAUAGAGAAAUUUAUCAGCAAUAGCUUUCAGUAAGUAUUUGGACAACAUGCUCUUGGUUUCGCCUCACAUAACAUUUCUAUUGACUGCAAAGUGAAUUCUGGGGUAUUCCAAAAAGUUUUGCUAAUAUGCUACACAAUAGGCUGGUGAGUUAUGACUGACAAGUUUGAAUGACAUAUUUUUAAAAAUCCUUUUGUACAGUAGUUUGCUUUCCUCUCAAACUUGCACAAUGCCAACCAGAAUUUCCAAAAACUUCCCUCAGAAGAACACAAAAGCUAAAAUGAUAGGGUUGUAACCUGGAAGGUUCUUUCACCAACCCAGAAAAAGUAUUAAUGAAACUUAAUGUUUUAAUUAGCCCUGUUGGUACAGGGAGGAGAUGUGAAGCAUUGGAAGAUCAUGUCUCCUUAGCACCCCAGGAGUAGGUCUGAUGUGAGCUAAGAGCACUCUGAGCAGCUGCUCACUGGUGGUUCUCUCACUGACAGCUUGAUACACUGUAGGGUAUCUCUGGAUUGCUUCACUGAGACUCAACACAACUAUUAGCAAUAGCACCAUCUGGUGAGAUCCAGUAAUGUGAUACAUUUAUAUUCUUGAUUCAACUUCUACUUUCUGCAGUUCUAACUUGAGGGUGUUUUCUGUUUACAAAAUAAAUCUCUGAGGCUAACUGAUCUCUGGAGCAGAAGGCAGAAAUGAUUAAGGCAAAGGAGCUCUGAGGCUGAGGAGUUUAUUAGCCAGAAUGUGUGUCACAGUUCUGGGGUAACUGCACCACUGACCCCUUCAUAGCCCCUUUGAAGGCAGCCCCACCUACAUCUCAGGCCUCUAGUCAUCACCUUGGGUUGAGAAUUCACAUAUUUCCCCCCCAGGCUGGGGAUUUAGGCUGCAAUUAUUCCUGUGCUUCACUGUGAUAACCUUAGCAAAUUUGAGGUUACCUAAGCACUUGCAGCCCUUUUAUCUCCCAGAGACAAUGACCGAGUUUACUAGUGACCAGCCAGUCUUCACAAAUCACAGUACAUUUAUUUAGGACAAAAUCAUUACAGACAAAACAUAUAAUAAAACAAUAAACCGUCUACAUGCACAUUAAGCUUGCCAUGUUUUCAAGAAUUCCCAUGCAUCUGGGGUGGACAAGGGAGGGAGUAAUAUCACACACACGCACACAAAGCUAUUAUACUGCAUUAGACUCAGUAGAUCUGUACACAAGUUUGUCAAUUCUUUGUUCCAGCGUGAGUCUGUCCUGAAUUAGUUUGGACUGCCCCUUUCCAAUUCUCCAUUCUUUGUCCGCUGGGCCUCUUGAGUAUAUGGUCAGACUGAGUAUAUGCAAAUUCCUGCCCCAGUGGGGUGGUCCUUCCCAAACCUGUUUACCUGUACAGAGUUUUGCAAUAAUUACCUUGCAGCGAUUUUAAUUCCUGCAAGAAGCUCUGUAACUCUCCCCCAUGGAGCCAGAAUACAAUCCCUGGCUCACAAAGAUACAUAUAACAUUUUUAAAUAGAUACAAGAGUCUCAGAGAUAUUUGUUUGUAAUACGUAUCACAGCUCAACAUAACAGUCUUUGAAGUUUCCUUACUUCCCAGACCUCCCAUCUAUCACUCACAGUGGUUAUUACCAAACUGGCAGGAAGCACACUGAAGGCUGGUGUAUUGACUCACUCUUCACAGUUGUAUAGAUCACUCAGUGAUUUUCACAGUGGCAUUGACAUCUUUGAGAACUGGUGCCAAGUGUUUAGAUUUUGUGUGUAUGUGUGAACAGUCAGUUUGUCCCCCCUCAGCUUAUCCUGCAGUAUUUUUUCCCCAUUAUUUGGUGGGGACCUACUCCGUUGCUUUUCUUCCUUUCUAAUUAUUGUUUGUCAAUAUAGCACUGGUGAAAGUUGUCGGAAUUACACACCUAGAGUCUGAAGUUGCCUAUCUCUUUGCAGACCAGCUACUAAUAAGCUAGCAAUAGCUUAAUAAAUACUUCCCUUUAGUCUGUGACAAGGCCCAUGGAUAAGGGUUACCUGUGCUCACAGGAAGGAAAGUUUCUGCAGACCCAAACCAGGACAUCCUACCUACACUAGAGAGGCCAGACCAACAGCACACUCUCAAACAAGCAGGUGGAAGCAGGGAGGACUUGUAGCUGCAAUGCUUUCAGCUCCCAGGACAGAAAGGGGACCACUACUAGCACCAUUAACUGAAGUCUAAGCCGUCGUCUACACUAGGAGUUUAGGUCGAAUUUAGCAGCGUUACAUCUAUUUAACCCUGCACCCUCCACAUAACAAAGCCAUUUUUGUCGACUUAAUGGGCUCUUAAAAACAAUUUCGGUAC